GAGGCCUGGGACGGCAUAGCACACUGGCAGAAGUGACGUGUAGGUGCGUUCUUCUGCGGCCGGGUAAAAGGUCAGAAUAGCAGAUUUGAUGUGACAGAAGGGAUGACUGGGUUAGGCAAGGUUAGUGGGUGGGCGAGUGGUCUGGGCAAACUCUGGAUAGUCUCUUAAUGCCUAGAGGGACGGGCAGUCCUUCAGCCAUGGGUCCCCAGAGGUUUCCUCCACAAGGGGGUUUUUCCUCUCCUGAGUGCUGAAGGAUGACUUCAUGAGUCAUGAGGCUUAUGUCAUCUUGUUCCUCUUAUAGGACAAGUUUGUAAGAUUACUGGACCAAUCUUAGUCCGAAAUUGCCUAUUUUAUUAUGCAGAGUAAACAAUAAUAAUAAUUACAAAUAAUAGUAAUAAUAAGAAGACAAAGAAGAAGAGGAAGAAGAAGAAAAAACAGGCAGCAUUUUACUUAAAAUAAAAAAGACAUUUAUUUUUUAAA